AAUGGGCGAAAGCCUGACGGAGCAAUGCCGCGUGUGGGAUGAAGCAUUUCGAUGUGUAAACCACUGUCAGAAUCUAGAAAUACUGAUCAGAUUCAGAGGAAGGACCGGCUAAUUCCGUGCCAGCAGCCGCGGUAAUACGGAAGGUCCAAGCGUUAUUCGGAAUCACUGGGCUUAAAGCGUACGCAGGCGGACUUGUAGGUAUCUUGUGAAAUCCCACGGCUCAACCGUGGAACUGCAGGGUAGACCACAAGUCUUGAGACAAGUAGGGGUCAGUGGAACGAUAUGUGGAGCGGUGAAAUGCGUAGAUAUAUAUCGGACGCCAAUGGCGAAGGCAGCUGACUGGGCUUGUUCUGACGCUCAGGUACGAAAGCGUGGGUAGCGAACGGGAUU
rnacentral:rRNA from 1 species